rnacentral:rRNA from 1 species
UUCCCCUUCGGGGGACAAAGUGACAGGUGGUGCAUGGUUGUCGUCAGCUCGUGUCGUGAGAUGUUGGGUUAAGUCCCGCAACGAGCGCAACCCUUAAGCUUAGUUGCCAUCAUUAAGUUGGGCACUCUAAGUUGACUGCCGGUGACAAACCGGAGGAAGGUGGGGAUGACGUCAAAUCAUCAUGCCCCUUAUGAUUUGGGCUACACACGUGCUACAAUGGACAAUACAAAGGGCAGCGAAACCGUGAGGUCAAGCAAAUCCCAUAAAGUUGUUCUCAGUUCGGAUUGUAGUCUGCAACUCGACUACAUGAAGCUGGAAUCGCUAGUAAUCGUAGAUCAGCAUGCUACGGUGAAUACGUUCCCGGGUCUUGUACACACCGCCCGUCACACCACGAGAGUUUGUAACACCCGAAGCCGGUGGAGUAACCUUUUAGGAGCUAGCCGUCGAAGGUGGGACAAAUGAUUGGGGUGAAGUCGUAACAAGGUAGCCGUAUCGGAAGGUGCGGCUGGAUCACCUCCUUUCUAAGGAA